AUUGAACGCUGGCGGCAGGCCUAACACAUGCAAGUCGAACGAGUGGCGGACGGGUGAGUAAUGUCUGGGAAACUGCCUGCUGGAGGGGGAUAAAUACUGGCAAUGGUAGCUAAUCCCGCAUACCAUCGGAUGUGCCCCGAUGGGAUUAGCUAGUAGGUGGGGUAAAGGCUCACCUAGGCGACGAUCCCUAGCUGGUCUGAGAGGAUGACGGGCCACAUGGGAACGGAGACACGGUCCAGACUCCUACGGGAGGCAGCAGUGGGGAAUAUUGCACAAGGGGCGCAAGCCUGAUGCAGCCAGGCCGCGUGUAUGAAGAAGGCCUUCGGGUUGUAAAGUACUUUCAGCGGGGAGGCGUUACCCGCAGAAGAAGCACCGGCUAACUCCGUGCCAGCAGCCGCGGUAAUAC
rnacentral:rRNA from 1 species